rnacentral:rRNA from 1 species
UACAGAGGUCUCAAGCGUUGUUCGGAUUCAUUGGGCGUAAAGGGUGCGUAGGUGGCGUGGUAAGUCGGGUGUGAAAUUUCGGAGCUUAACUCCGAAACUGCAUUCGAUACUGCUGUGCUUGAGGACUGGAGAGGAGACUGGAAUUUGCGGUGUAGCAGUGAAAUGCGUAGAGAUCGUAAGGAAGACCAGUGGCGAAGGCGGGUCUCUGGACAGUUCCUGACACUGAGGCACGAAGGCCAGGGGAGCAAACGGG